UUGGAGGGCAAGUCUGGUGCCAGCAGCCGCGGUAAUUCCAGCCCCAAUAGCGUAUAUUAAAGUUGUUGCAGUUAAAAAGCUCGUAGUUGAACCUCGGGAUCAAUGGAUCGGUCAUGCCAUCGGUAUGUACUGGUCUCAUUGGUUCUCACCUUCUAAGGAACCAUGAUGUCAUUCAGUUGAUGUUGUGGGGAAUUAGGACUGUUACCUUGAAAAAAUUAGAGUGUUUAAAGCAGGCUAACGCUUGAAUACAUUAGCAUGGAAUAAUGAAAUAGGACAUCGCAUUCUAUUUUGUUGGUUUCUAGGAUCGAUGUAAUGAUUAAUAGGGAUAGUUGGGGGCAUUAGUAUUCAAUUGUCAGAGGUGAAAUUCUUGGAUUUAUUGAAGACUAACUACUGCGAAAGCAUUUGCCAAGGAUGUUUUCAUUAAUCAAGAACGAAAGUUAGGGGAUCGAAGACGAUCAGAUACCGUCGUAGUCUUAACCAUAAACUAUGCCGACUAGGGAUCGGAUGAUGUUGAUUUUUUAAUGACUCAUUCGGCACCUUACGGGAAAC
rnacentral:rRNA from 1 species